rfam:Triticum aestivum genome assembly, contig: Triticum_aestivum_CS42_TGACv1_scaffold_030436_1BL
CAGGUACUCCCUCCGUCCGGAAAUACUUGUCGUAGAAAUGGAUGUAUCUAGACCUAUUUUAGUUUUACCAUUUUUAUCCAUUUGUAGGACAAGUAUUUUCGGACGGAGGGAUUAUGUU